rnacentral:lncRNA from 13 species
UGAGAGAAGAAGGUGGGGGAGGGAAUUUAGAAUUCCGUUUAAGUGUUUGUUCUGUCACAAAACAUAAGACUUCAAUCAUGUUGUAUGGACACUGCUGGGGUUGAAAAUGUCAUGGUUCUCUAGAAAGACUUGCUCCCUUAGACAAAAGAAGUCAAUGGAGCUUCAACAGCAUCACCUGCCCCAGCUGUUUGAUACGGUGACUUUCACACAUAUGAUGAUCAACUGACUCUGAUCUGUUCUUAUAUUUUGGUUGCUGUGGUUACAUUUCCUAAACAGGCAGCUUUCCACUUGGUAGCCACAUUGAGAGGAGUGUCUACCUAUAUGAAGUACCCUCUGGAUGAUUAACCCUUCUUCAAUUGCUCCCGCCAAAGCUCAGGGGAAAUCUGAAGGACACAUGAGCCCUCAAAGCCUUUCCUUAUUUUCCACAUCUUGCUACUCUCUUCCCACAACCUCACUGCACGUGCUGAAUAUCAGGCAGAUGUGCUCAUUCUGCUGCCUGCUUAUUUUCCUUGAAGUGGUUUGCACAGCAGAUGUUCCAGAAUUUUGUGGAUCCUGGAGACUGGUCACCCAGCUUUUUACAAGGAUAUUACAAGGUGCAAAUGGGACAAUGGAGCAAUGUCUGUAAAAUAUUUCUUAUAGAACCUGUCAUAGAGAGUGUUGGGCAUAUGCUUUAGCUCUCAAACUGUUGGUUUUAUUAUCAUUCUCUUGGCUGGUAUGAAGUUAAAGUGCUGGGGGACUGAGGAGGCAGACUGCUGUGGCACAAAGAAGAAACAAUUGCACAAGUUUCCCAAGAAAUCUAAAAAUUCAGAAAACAACUCUUCCUUGAAAGUGUGAGCGAAGUUUUCAAACUGAAGAGUCAAAGAACAUGGAAGAUGUAAUGUUCAUGCUAAGCAUUGCUUGUCUUAGGCAGAGAUGUGUUAAUUAAGACACUGUGGAAUAGCCAACCAACCAGCCAACCAACCAAAG